GGUAUCGCCAAGCGGUAAGGCAUCAGACUUUGACUCUGAUAUUCGUAGGUUCAAAUCCUGCUACCC
rnacentral:tRNA from 1 species